CUCUGAGGAUUCUGACUGAGUAAGCCUGCUGUUGUCCAGGACCUGAAUUAAUUCAUUAUACACAUAUCCUGUAAGUAACCUCAGUAGAUGUGAUCAAAUGUCACAGAUUGAUGAUAUACAGUGUAUAUUCAGACCCCUUGACUUUUUUCACAUUUUACCAUGUUUUUAGAAAUAUGUGCUAAUUUACAAAAAAUGUCAUUCUGAAAUAUCACAUUUACAUAAGUAUUCAGACCCUUUACUCAGUACUUUGUUGAAGGACCUUUGGCAGUGAUUACAGCCUCGAGUCUUCUUGGGUAUGACACUACAAGCUUGGCACACCUGUAUUUGGGGAGUUUCCCCCAUUCUUCUCUGCAGAUCCUCAGCUCUGUCAGGUUGGAUGGGGAGUGUUGAUGCACACCUACUUUCAGGUCUCUCCAGAGAUGUUGGAUCGGGUUCAAGUCCAGGCUCUGGCUGGGCCUCUCAAGGACAUUCAGAGACUUGUCCCGAAGCCACUCCUGCGUUGUCUUGGCUGUGUGCUUAGGGUCAUUGUCCUGUUGGAAGGUGAACCUUCGCCCCAUUCUGAGGUCCUGAUCACUCUGGAGCAGGUUUUCAUCAAGGAUCUCUCUGUACUUUGCUCUGUUCAUCUGUCCCUCGAUACUGACUAGUCUCCCAGUCCCUGCCGCUGAAAAACAUCCUCACAGCACAGCAUGAUGCUGCCAACACUAUGCUUCACCAUAGGGAUGGUGCCAGGUUUCCUCUAGACUUGACGCUUGGCAUUCAGGCCAAAGAUUACAAUCUUGGUUUCAUCAGACCAGGGAAUCUUGUUUCUCAUAGUCUGAGAGUCUUUAGGUGCCUUUUGGCAAACUCCAAGCGGGCUGUCAUGUGCCUUUUACUGAGGAGUGGCUUCCGUCUGGCCACUCUACAAUAAAGACCUUAUUGGUGGAGUGCUGCAGAGAUGGUUGUCCUUCUGGAAGGUUCUCCCAUCUCCACAAAGGAACUCUGGAGCUCUGUAAGAGUGACCAUAGGGUUCUUGGUCACCUCCCUGACCAAGACCCUCCUCCCCCGAUUGCUCAGUUUGUCCGGGCGGCCAGCUCUACGAAGAAUCUUGGUGGUUCCAAACCUUUUCCAUUUGAGAAUGAUGGAGGCCACUGUGUUCUUGGUGAACUUCAAUGCUGCAGACAUUGUUUGGUACCCUUCCCCUGAUCUGUGCCUGAACACAAUCCCGUCUCGGAGCUCUACGGACAAUUCCUUCGACCUCAUGGCUUGGAUUUUGCUCUGACAUGAGGUCGACUGUGGGACCUUAUAUAGACUCUGGCCCCCCAAUGGUGGAACAAACUCCCUCACGACGCCAGGACAGCGGAGUCAAUCACCACCUUCCGGAGACACCUGAAACCCCACCUCUUUAAGGAAUACCUAGGAUAGGAUAAAGUAAUCCUUCUCACCCCCCCCCCUUAAAAGAUUUAGAUGCACUAUUGUAAAGUGGCUGUUCCACUGGAUGUCAUAAGGUGAAUGCACCAAUUUGUAAGUCGCUCUGGAUAAGAGCGUCUGCUAAAUGACUUAAAUGUAAAUGAUGUAAAUGUAUAGACAGGUGUGUGCCUUUCCAAAUCAUGUCCAAUCAAUUUAAUUUACAACAGGUGGACUCCAAUCAAGUUGUAGAAACAUCUCAAGGACGAUCAAUGGAAACAGGAUGCACCUGAGCUCAAUUUUGAGUCUCAUAGAAAAGGGUCUGAAUACUUCUGCAAAGAAGGUACUUAAGUCUUUUAUUUUUUUAUACUUUUGCAAAAAUGUCAGAAACCUGUUUUCGCUUUGUUAUUAUGCAGUAUUGUGAGUAGAUUGAUGAGAAAAAAUGUGUAUUUAAUCAAUUUAAGGCUGUAACGUAACAAAAUGUGGAAAAAGUUAAGGGGUUUGAAUACUUUCUGAAGGCACUGCAUGUAAUCCAUCAAGUCACAUUGACAUAUGUUAUGACUCAAGGAACCAUGCAGUUCUGAUAUAUUGGGAUCUUUUCCAGAGAAGUCUAGACAUUCACAGAAAAUAUGAAACUGUGUUUUUCUGAAUCAAAUCCUCGAGGGCUAUCCUUAAAAGUCAUGUCACUGAGGUUUCAAAAGUCAAUCGGUCACUGAGAAAAACGACCAUUCAAAUCACAAAAUAAAUUCCUGUUAAAUUCAAGGUGUGUGAUCCAAUUUUGUCUGCUGAUAUAGCACAUAACUACAAUAAAGGUCUAUCCGGUCAUUAGUCAGUAAGGAUGACUUCCCCCUGCUGAGAGGAGCAUGGUUGCAAUCAGAAGAGAAGGCCCUUAGUUGACCUCUCCCUGCUCACAUAGAGAGCCUCAUUCAGCCUGCCUGCAUCCCUGUUCCACUCGCAUAAACACAAUUUAGUCCAGGAAUCCUCCUCUCAAUGUAUUCCACCCAAUGUAAUCAGGAUGCGUCGUCUCAUUUGAUUCCAGCCAGAGGUUUAAGUCAUAUUAAAUAUGUACCUUAACGGUCACAAUGAUUUGGUAUGUUGACGGUUAAUGAGCAUGAAAAAGACUAUUUGGAAGAGGAAAGACGUUCAGCUUCUGUGACUCCCUCAGCUCAUCAAGGUCACAUUAGCUUAAUCAUAAGGGUGUGAUUCAAACGACACGUUGUUUACAUACUACUAAAGCUAAUGUAGUUUAGUAUGGUGCUUUAUUCUUCACAGGCUGAGAAAGAGAUAGGAAGACAACGAGGUCUGUGAAUGAAUAGGCUGGUAAGAAACUGGAACACACACACACUCCUGCAGGAUAAGGAGAUUGGAAGACAACGAGGUCUGUGAAUGAAUAGGCUGGUAGGAAACUGGAACACACACACACUCCUGCAGGAUAAGGAGAUUGGAAGACAACGAGGUCUGUGAAUGAAUAGGCUGGUAGGAAACUGGAACACACACACACUCCUGCAGGAUAAGGAGAUUGGAAGACAACGAGGUCUGUGAAUGAAUAGGCUGGUAAGAAACUGGAACACACACACACUCCUGCAGGAUAAGGAGAUUGGAAGACAACGAGGUCUGUGAAUGAAUAGGCUGGUAGGAAACUGGAACACACACACACUCCUGCAGGAUAAGGAGAUUGGAAGACAACGAGGUCUGUGAAUGAAUAGGCUGGUAAGAAACUGGAACACACACACACUCCUGCAGGAUAAGGAGAUUGGAAGACAACGAGGUCUGUGAAUGAAUAGGCUGGUAAGAAACUGGAACACACACACACUCCUGCAGGAUAAGGAGAUAGGAAGACAACGAGGUCUGUGAAUGAAUAGGCUGGUAGGAAACUGGAACACACACACACACACACAGGAUAAGGAGAUUGGAAGACAACGAGGUCUGUGAAUGAAUAGGCUGGUAAGAAACUGGAACACACACACACUCCUGCAGGAUAAGGAGAUUGGAAGACAACGAGGUCUGUGAAUGAAUAGGCUGGUAAGAAACUGGAACACACACACACUCCUGCAGGAUAAGGAGAUUGGAAGACAACGAGGUCUGUGAAUGAAUAGGCUGGUAGGAAACUGGAACACACACACACUCCUGCAGGAUAAGGAGAUUGGAAGACAACGAGGUCUGUGAAUGAAUAGGCUGGUAGGAAACUGGAACACACACACACUCCUGCAGGAUAAGGAGAUUGGAAGACAACGAGGUCUGUGAAUGAAUAGGCUGGUAGGAAACUGGAACACACACACACUCCUGCAGGAUAAGGAGAUUGGAAGACAACGAGGUCUGUGAAUGAAUAGGCUGGUAGGAAACUGGAACACACACACACACACACACAGGAUAAGGAGAUAGGAAGACAACGAGGUCUGUGAAUGAAUAGGCUGGUAGGAAACUGGAACACACACACACACACACAGGAUAAGGAGAUUGGAAGAACGAGCCUGAGGGCAAAGUAGACUGACACAUUUACCCCGUGUCAGUCUUUCUUUCUGUCUGAGCCAAGAGCAACAGUCUGGCACAUGGCAUCUGACUGAGUGAUGGAGAGACUGCUAACACAAGGCCCAGGUCUUUCAGCACCAGGAAACAAUGUG